UACGUAGGGGGCAAGCGUUGUCCGGAAUUAUUGGGCGUAAAGCGCACGUAGGCGGUCCUUUAAGUCUGAUGUGAAAGCCCACGGCUUAACCGUGGAGGGUCAUUGGAAACUGGAGGACUUGAGUGCAGAAGAGGAGAGUGGAAUUCCACGUGGAGCGGUGAAAUGCGUAGAGAUGUGGAGGAACACCAGUGGCGAAGGCGACUCUCUGGUCUGUAACUGACGCUGAGGUGCGAAAGCGUGGGUAGCGAAC
rnacentral:rRNA from 1 species